ACUCGAGUGGCGAACGGGUGAGUAACACGUGGGUGAUCUGCCCUGCACUUCGGGAUAAGCCUGGGAAACUGGGUCUAAUACCGGAUAGGAGCCAUUUUUAGUGUGAUGGUUGGAAAGUUUUUCGGUGUAGGAUGAGCUCGCGGCCUAUCAGCUUGUUGGUGGGGUAAUGGCCUACCAAGGCGGCGACGGGUAGCCGGCCUGAGAGGGUGACCGGCCACAUUGGGACUGAGAUACGGCCCAG
rnacentral:rRNA from 1 species